UUUUCUGAACAGACCUCGUACAGAAAAUUCAUUCGAUAUAUAUAGUCACUCAGUGCCACUAUGAGUUCAUGGUGUUGGUGUCUUCAUCUUGAAAAAAUGGCUUCAAACUUUCCCAGUUAUUUCUACUUCUUUUUUGUUGUCGCUGUAUUGACAUGUCUGACAGAGGCUCAAGUGCGCAUAAAAUCCAAGAAGUCAGGAUAAGUCUUUGUGACGGCAAAGGGUCUAAUGUUGAAGUUGCUGAGCCUGACGAUUCUGAGGGCCAGAAGUGGAUAUUGGAAUGCAAUCAAAAAGGCCAUUUCAUUAUCAAUAGUGAGAGACAAGAUUUAGCAAUGGAUAUACAGAAAGGCUGUAAAAUUGGUCAAAAUGUCAUGGUUUAUGGUAAACAUUCAAGGCAGAAUCAGCAAUUCUUCAUUAAUUCCGAUGCAACUAUUGGUACAGCUUGCAAUGCAAAUCUUAUUCUGUUGGUGAAGGAUAGAAACGUAGAAGUAGCACCAAGAGACAAUUCUACUGAUCUUGACAUACACUUUGAAAUUGAACCAAUCGAAUGAUCAAGAAAUAUCAAUGAAGAAUAUUGUACUUGAGUACUUUCACUAAUGAUAAAAAUUAAAUAUACAUAUAAUAA